GCGGCAGCAGCAACUGCAGCAGGGGCAGCAGUGAGUGGGUUCUCCGCCAAACAAAGUCCACUCACUACGCGAACAUUUCAUUCAGGCUAAGAAUAAGCAACGCAACGCUAUGCCAGAGCGCAGCCGGCGAGUUUGAACAGCUGAAGACGAGCUUGCGUUCCGGUUUAAUUUUCUUUAUUCGGCUUACGUCACAAACAAAGACAGAGGGCUCAUAAUAAAUACAGAGUAAAAAUUAAUGUACAAAAAAAAAUAACAUAAAAUUUCUUCAAAUGUAGCAUUUAUUGUAUGAAACCAGUUCUCUGACAAUAAAAUGCAAAAACAAAAAGUAAACAAAUAAAAUAAUGAAAACAAAAGAAAUUCAAAAUAAAGAGAAAAAGAAAAUAAAGAAAUGCUGGCGUUGCCGAAUUGCAUUCGAGGAAGUGUUGGCAAAAAAUAAAUUAUUUAAGAAGCAACAAAAUGCUGCCCAUUGUUUCGUGCAGCAGUGGCCAGAAAGCAUGAAUCAUCAGCCCCACAGAGACAGAGAGAGAAAGAGACAGAGCGAUGGGGGGCAAGCGAGAGAGGGAGACAGGUGCAAAGGCAUCCACAAAAACAGAGAAAGAGAAACAACAAACAACAGAAACGAACUGGUAUCCAAUGAAGGAAUGUGGCCAAGCAACAAACAAAAGAGAGCUUGGCUCUCUGCUCUUGGCUUCCACACUCCACUCUCUCUAGAUAAGAGAAGAGACAGUGGCAGAGGGCUACCACAGGGGGGGCAGCGACCGCCCUGCCACCGAUGGGGGCAUCGCAUAUUUUGGUGCUCUAUUUUAAAUUAUUAAUGAGCGGCUUAUUCAGUUAUUAAAAGCCUGGGAAUAUCCGAUACCAAGAGAACAUCCUUUACACUCUCACCCUCUCUUUCUCCCAGUUGCCCAGCCUUCUCCCACUCGACCCUCGAGGCGAUUCCCCAGAGAGCGUGUUAGCAGCGUAACAGGAGCCAAGAAUUCCCCGCCAAAGAAAUUAGAUUAGGCUUAGCCCGAGAGCUCCAUUUGAUUGCGAUUGCGGGCUUGGCUUUUGCUGGCCAAUAAAAAAUGUGGCACGUGAGGGUCGUUGGUGGGUCUUUGGUGGGUCUCUGGUGUGCGAGAGUCCUCACAAGUUACGCAUACGCCAUGUUAACCGAUUCAUGCUGCCAGCUACCAGUUUCUUCUGGUUUUUCAUAUUGGAAACACUCGGAAAAUAAAAAGGAAGGUUUAAUUAUGGGCUAUAUAGUCUUCUUAAAGUUAAACCUAUACUUAAACCUUUCUUUUCUUUCAGUGAUUGCCAAUCCUCUACCGCCUUCAUAGCCCUUUUUCUUCCACCUUUCCCAACUCAACCAAAAGUAAGUCUCUCUUUCCCCUUGUUGUUUUAGUUGACAUUUUAUUUCUUACUCCACGUAGGUAAAUUUAAUGGAAAACGACGUGGCCACUUUAGGCAGAAAAAACUUUACGAAUAGGAAAUGAAUUUUAUUUGAAAUCGAAACGGAUUAGGGGCAGUAUAUAAGUAUAGGGUAUGGAAAAAUAAACUCCUUCCAUAAGCAGAGUGGGGUUGGGAUAAUGGACCGGCCAUCCGACCAACUUAAUUGACUUUUGAAGUGAGUAACCAUCAAUCCUGCCGGCCCCUGCCUUAGAGCCCUCACUCCCCCACAUGUGUGGCGAACACAUAAAAUCAUUUAAAUAAUAAAUGCGGCAAAAAGUUUAUUCGAACAGGGCUGAGCUGGUCCUGGACCUGGGUCUGGGCCUGGCUAACUGAAGCUUAGCAUGUAAUCAAAGUUUGGCAAAUGAAAACAUUUGCAAAAUGUUUGCCCCAAAUCCACUCUCCUUCCAGUCUCCGGCUUCUGCAGCAGGAUGUGUGUUUUGUGGGUCCAUAAAAUCAAUAAACUUAAAUAACUACAAAUAACUGAGAAAUUGGGGCACUCUCGCA